AUUGAACGCUGGCGGCAUGCCUAACACAUGCAAGUCGAACGGCAGCGCGGGUAGCUUGCUACCUGGCGGCGAGUGGCGGACGGGUGAGUAAUAUGUAGGAAUCUACCUAGAGGAGCGGGAUAACUUGGGGAAACUCAAGCUAAUACCACAUAAUCCCCACGGGGGAAAGCAGGGGACCUUCGGGCCUUGCGCCUUAUGAUGAGCCUACAUCGGAUUAGCUUGUUGGUGGGGUAAAGGCCUACCAAGGCGACGAUCCGUAGCUGGUCUGAGAGGAUGAUAAGCCACGAUGGAACUGAGACACGGUACAGACUCCUACGGGAGGCAGCAGUGGGGAAUAUUGGACAAUGGGGGGAACCCUGAUCCAGCAAUGCCGCGUGUGUGAAGAAGGCCUUAGGGUUGUAAAGCACUUUCAGUGGAGAGGAAGUUGCGUGUGCUAAUAUCAUACGUAAUUGACGUUACCCACAGAAGAAGCACCGGCUAACUCUGUGCCAGCAGCCGCCGUAA
rnacentral:rRNA from 1 species